rnacentral:lncRNA from 1 species
UCCCUGUGCUCCAUUGCGCAGGCGUCGUCCGGGUGUCCGUCAAGGGCGAGGUUUGUUGCUCUCUGAUAAAAUUGUACUACUAGGAAAAUGUGAUAUCCUUGCACAUCGGUUUCAACUUUCAAGUUUAUUUGACAAUUCAAUGUACCACUGUACAAUUUGUCUGGUUAAGGGUGUGAUUAGUCGAUAGUCGGGCUUAAUUACUUGCAGUUUACUACUCCCUCCGUCCCGAAUUACUUCGUAUCUAGAAUACAUCCGUAUCAAAACAAAUCUAAGACAAGUAAUUCGGGACGGAGGUAAUACUAGUUUUGAAAGAAAAAGGAAAAUCCAAGUCGAAAGAAAAGUUCAUGUGCUGAACUUUUUAUUUGAUAUAGGUUGAACCACAGCUUACAUACACGACGAACAUAGAUUUACUUGUAAAAUGGAAGACGAUCCACGACAUAACACGAUUUCUAUCGAGAAAAGGUAAAGCAUUAAGUAAAGGAAACUAGUCUUAGGUCAUCCUGCAGCAGCAACAUCUGAGCAAUAUUAAAUGUUUGCAGUUUUUGCUCAACCCUGCAGUGCUGAAAAUGCAUCUUUGAUUGCGGUGACCUCAACGUAAACAUCCUGCAUUGAGGGACGAUAUUUGGGUGUCUCUGCAGCGCACAUGAGGCCAAUCUUAACGAGCUUGAUGAUGCAGCUCAUUCCAGCCAUUUGAUGAUGAUUUUCUUGAUCUACAGCCCUGCCUGCUUCUCCGUCUUGGUCCGCAUAAUAGGGAAUGAUUCUCGGAUCUAGAAUCUCGCCAAUCUUUUCAGGAAAUGAUUUUUCAACAAAAUUGUAAAGGCUCAGGCCAUCUUUAAACAUCUCAUCAGUUGGACGCUUCCCUGUGAGCAUUUCUAAGACGAUGACUCCAAAGCUGUAAAUAUCACCCUCGGUAGAGAUUUUGCUCCCAAAGCCAUAUUCUGCAAUAUGUAUAGUUAUUGAAACCGUUAAUUAACACAAUAAAAUUGGAGCACAAGAAUCAAAAUAUUUCUGGGGAAAAUAAAGUAAAAUGUCAUUGAGCCUAUAAGAUAUUUUCCAUAAAUAUAUUAUCCUACAUGAAGAAAUUCUUACCUGGUGCAAUGUAUCCAACUGAUCCUCUUGGUCCCACUAAGCUCGUAGAACCAUCAAUCCUAGAAGAAGUAUAACUGUGUACAAACUUAGUCAACCCGAAGUCACCAACACAUGCGCCCAUGACAUCAUCCAGAACACAGGCGGAGGACCCGGUAGGGCGAGGUUGGGCGCCCGCCCUACCUUGAUUUUGUACGAUGCAAUCUGUACAGGUAUACGCAUCGCUGGAUCGCUGGCUGGCUGGCUCCUGGUUGCCUCGCUAGGUAAAAAAAAAGGAGAAAAGGGAAUGGGCCUUCGAGCGAACGCAAGCCGCGUUAGGCCAGCAGCGCCCUGAUUGCUCCCCCAACAGCUAAGGAACUGCUACAUUCUUUUACCCUGAUUGCUCAAGUUCCUCAGCUGUCUAGACUAGCAGCAGUCCUCGACUGGUGCAUUCUUUUACCCUUUAAAAAGGUAGCAGUUUCCCGAUUCCCUCUCAUCCGCUGGCCUGAUUUCUCUUCACCGCCCCGGUUGGGAUUUCUACUGAUUAGCUAUUUUUUAUGUGUGUGUGAGAGAGGUGCUUAUUACUGUAAUUUGUGCGGCUACUGUAGGCGCUCUUUCAGUGAAUGGGAAACGUAGAAAUAUAGCAGAUGGGUAAGAAAAGAGAGGGUAGAACAAAGGUAAGAGUAAAGGUGCAAAUUUAUGGAAAAAAUAGAUUUCUAAAUUUGUGAUCUGUAUGGUAAAAUAGUUUGACAAUGUACAAUUCAGUGAUCUUAAUGAUAUUUUCAUAUUGUGAAUGGUAGCAUAUCAUAAUUUAAUUUACGCCUUAGUGUCCGCCCCACCUCAAAUUUUUGUCGUCCUCCGCCACUGAUCCAGAAGGACAUUGCUUGGCUUCAGAUCACAGUGUGUCAUAGGAGGCAUGCAAUGGUUAUGCAGGUAAUCCAAAGCAGCUGCUAUGUCUACUGCUAUUGCUAUUCUUGAACCCAAAGACAAGGGCCUUUUCAGAUGAUGCUCGUGGAGUGUUGGAUGGAGCCAACUUUCAAGGUUGCCGUUAACCAUAUAUUCAAGGAGAAGAGCUUUGAACUCAUUUCCUGUCAGGUCACUUGUCGAGCAUACUGUGAUCACCCUUACAAGAUUACGAUGACGAGUACUUCUGAGUGCCUGGCAUUCAGCAACGAAGCUUUUCGUUGCUCCAGGCUGAUCAAGUUUGAAAACUUUGAUCGCAACUGCAUGUUCUUCAGACUCAAUUCUACCUUUGUAUACGGACCCAUACUUUCCUGAACCAACCAAGUUGGCUAAAGAGAAACCAUUUGUUGCUUUCACUAAAUCAGCAUAUGUGAAUUUCUUUAACUCCUCGACGGAUGGAUGAUCUUCUUGCUUCGCUUUCUUUCCCUUCUUUAAAAAAAUGAGUCCAAUACAUGAUAACAUGACUAAGACAAGAGCAGAUAAUCCCAUUAUCUUCAGAAUGUGGAAUCUGUGCCUUUGUUGAGAUGCAGCUGUAUGGCAAAGUGGCAAUCUCAAUAGUGGGGAGACAGCACACAACUCUUUGUUCCCUUGGACAAACACCUUGCUUGCAUUUUGGAAGAUCCCACCAGUUGGCAUGGGUCCCUCCAGGUUGUUGAAUGACAAAUUGAGAAGUGACAGGGAGCUGAAAGCCUCAAAGAAGUCUGGAACUUGACCAGACAAGUUGUUUCGAGAAAGGUCCAUGUCACUGAUGCCUUUCAGUGCAGCGAAAGAUUGAGGGAUUCGCCCAUCAAGUAGAUUACCUUCCAGGUGGAGGGAUUCUAAAUGGAGGCAGUCGCCCAAAGUUGAGGGAAUUUCUCCAGUCAACAGGUUGUUGGAAAUAUCGAGGGGGGAAAGGUUGAUUAAUUUGCCAAUCUCCACUGGUAUAUGUCCAGAGAGUUUGUUGUGAGACAGAUCAAGACCUUCAGCAAGUGUGGAAAUAGUGAACAGUUCUUUUGGUAUUGUUCCAUCAAAUGAGUUGCAAGAGAGGUUUAGGGUGUGUAACUUAUUGCACUGUGCUAAAGCUACUGGGAUGGGCCCGCUCAAAUUAUUUUGCUGCAAAUAGAGCUCACUUAGUUGACCAAGUUUACGAAUUGAAAGUGGGAUUUGGCCAGAUAGCUUGUUUCCUGAUAAUCUUAGAACGAACAUGUUGGAAAGGUUUCCAAGUGAGUACGGAAGGGUUCCAGUAAGCAAAUUGUGCUCUAUGUAAAGAAGUUUGAGGCUACUAAGGUUCCCUAUCUCGUGUGGUAUGGUACCAGAUAUUUUAUUUGCUGUCAAGAUCAGAGAUUCUAAGCUUUUUGGAAGAUCGCCUAUGGACUUUGGCAGUUCACCUUGUAGGUUAUUUUCAUCUAAACGUAAACUUACUAGCUUUGUACAACUGGUGAGCGAGUGGAGGAAAGUCCAGUCGCCAGCUUCGAGUUGGUUCUUGCCUAGAUUUAGUUCGGUUAAGUUGGGCAAAGACCCAAAAUAAGGAACAAUACCAUGGAAUGCAUUGUCACAAAGAUUAAUGCUCUGAAGAUUUCUGGCCUUGGCCAUUGAAGUGGGAAUAAUACCUCCAAAUCUGUUUCCUUGAACAAUGAAUGUCUGGAUGCUUUGAAGGGUAUGGCCAAUAUUUUCUGGAAUUUCUCCUGUUAGGCUGUUAAUUCCCAUGCCAAGGUAUGUGAGUGUUGAUAUAUUGUAGAGAGAGCCUGGAACGGCUCCUAUCAAGUUGUUGUAAUUCAGAUCUAAUUUGUCCAAGUGGGGGACUUUACUCAAACUCCACGGAAUGCUGCCUUGCAAGUGAUUCCCUGCAAGCAAAAGCUCAACAAGGGAAGAGGAGUUCCCUAUGGUGGAAGGUAUUUUUCCUGCGAGAUUGUUGAAUGAUAGGGACAGAGUUCGCAACGGCGAGAUGGGUGAGAAAGGUGGAAUAGACCCGGAGAAGUUAUUUCUUCCCAAAAGUAUGAUUUCAAGAGAUGGGCUGCUGAAGAGAGAGGGAGGUACGUCUCCAUCGAGGUCAUUGCUUCCCAAGUCCAGCCAUUCAAGUGCUGAACUAUUUGCUAAGAGAGGUGGAAAGCCUCCAGUUAGGCUGUUGUUUGCCAGGACGACAUAGUAGAGUGAUGAGCUGCUUCCAAGUGGGUAAGGAAUCUUGUCCGUUAAUUUGUUGUUAGAACAUACAGAACUGAAAGCUUAGGAAGCAUGCCGAACCCAUCCGGAAUGCUUCCGUGGAGCGUGUUGCUAUCAAGAUAAAUCUCUGUGAGAUUUAGACAGUUGGCCAAACCUGUGGGGAUCUUCCCCUGGAGGUAGUUAUUCCCAAGAUCGAUUAUCUGAAGGCUAGAACAGGUAGACAAAGAGUUCGGUAUUACGCCAGUAAGAAUGUUAUCUGAAAGGGAGAGCUCGACAAGGUGACGCAGAAAACCUACCUCAGGCGGGAUCCCGCCAUUCAGCAGGUUAUCCUGGAGUUUGAUUCUUGCAAGGAAAGUGAGAUUACCGAUGCAGGGUGGUAUUUGGCCGUUCAGAUCAAGAGAUUCAAGAUGAAGUGUUGUGACGCGAGAUGCGUGCUUCUUGCCACAGGUGACACCGGGCCAACUGCAAUACUGAAGGGUAUUGUUCCACGAGGCGAGGGCUUCGGUGUUGUUAGAGAGAUGGUUCUUGAGACAGAGGAGUGCUUGGAAGUCCUUACCAGAUUCAUCACCAAGCGUGGUGCCAUCGAGUGAAGAAGCAGGGGCAAAAGAGGUCAAGAAAGUGAGGAGGACGGUGGCUGUGAAGAGUGAUGAACUGAUAGUCCCUAAAGAUACAUGGGCCAUUUGUGUGCUACCCACGGUUGUGUAUGUUUCUACUGAGUUGUGCCCUCCUACAGAUUUCAGCGGUAGCAGUGAGCACACAUAUUUAUAGCGGGGCUAGCUUGGAAGCCUGCCUUCUCUGCACCCCCCAUUUGUGUGUAACCGAAACAAGACAUUCUAGUUCCCAUCAUGGGCCUGCCUUCUCUGCACCCCCCAUUUGUGUGUAACCGAAACAAGACAUUCUAGGUUCCCAUCAUGGGCAGUAGUGGAAACCAAAGAGCGUUCCCUCGAAAAUUCACUCUCAAGGAACGUCUGCUCUAUCUCGCAAAAAAAAGGAACGUUAGCUCUAUAAUUUAUCAUUGUUUUUUUAAAUAAGGCGCUUGCAAUUUCCACUAUUUUUUUGCGAGAAAACUUCUAAUCUAUUCUUUUUCAACCAUGGUAGUACAUCGAACACUAGAAAUAAUAAAAAUUACAUUCAGGUCCGUAGACCAUCUAGCGACGAUUACAAGCACUGAAGCAAGCUGAAGGCGUGCCGCUGUCAUCGCCCCUCCCUUGCCAGAGCCCUCCCACCGGCAAGGGCCGGGAUCCACUCCGCUCCCAUGGCCCUAAGGCCACCAGAGGCGAGGUGGAUCGGCAGCGAUGCCGGUGGGAGGCAGAGAAACCCUAGCUUUGGGGAGGCGGCAAUUUUCACUAUAUUCUUGUGUUUUUUCUGUGGCGCAUCAAACAAAAUCUAUCACACAUUCUCUUGUUUUGAAUUUCUAUAGGAUUUUCCAACAUGUUAUUAUAUAUAAUUUCUAUGUCAUUCAAUUCCUGCGAUGGACGCUACUUUUAUUUGUAUUUAUAGGUAGAAGUUUGUUUCUUGGUUUUUCAGUUUUCUGCGACUGGCCUAUGGGGACAUAAAGUAGUACUGGAGAUUUGGUGGUUCUUUUUUCGGAUUUUCACCUGCACCAGCAAUGUAGCGGAGAGACUCAGAAUCUUGGAGGCAGUCCCGGUCUCUGACUGGAGGUUUGGCAGCAAGCCACCAUAUCUCCAGUACUACUUUAUGUCACCAUGGACUCGAGUAUCGGUGAGUGCAGCACGGGUCUCCCACCGCUACAACUUUAGCUUCUCCUAAUUCUUAACGCACGAAGCGUGCAAGAGCUCUGGAAAGACCAUGUCCCCGAGACUGAGCACUUGCCGUGUACCAACCCAGCUGCUCGGGAUCCAACUCAUUCUGCUGGUUUUCUUCAUCAACGGCAGCCUCCUCGUCCUCCCCGCCGCGUCAGCCUACUACAAUGCAUCUGCGCCUGCGGCUGCGAGAGUAUACCUCCCCUUUGGUAAAUCGGGAAUAUACCUCCCCCCUGGUAAAUCGGGAAACUGUGAGUAUCGUAAUUGAAACCAUUACUAAUUGCUAGUACUAAAUUGUGAGUACGAACAUGCGAAUGGUAGUGCUAUGAUAGAGGAAACAUACCGGAAUCCCUCUCUUGAGCAAUUGCCGUUCCGCCCUCUUGUUAAAUGCUUAUCAACUAAUACUUGGUGUUCUUUUUACCAUUUCUUGCAGUAAACGUGUUCGGUGGACCACGAACCGCUACUCCACAUCCUCACGCUAACCAACCGGAGGGGAUUCCUCGGCGCAGAGAGCGCAAACACUAGGCGCCUGAGAGGUGCACGUGCAGCGAGACAACGGGGGAUGAACACAUGUAGUAGCUUUGAUAGGGAAUCAAAUAACCUUGCGUGGUUGGGCCAAUGGGCGCGUUACUUGUAUUUGUGAUGCAUAUGCAGCUUGUUAAACAAGUUUGUGUGCAACUUGCAAUUUCUGUUUCCUUGUCCUUCGAGGGACUCGCUAAUGUUAUACGUACUCGAUCGACAAUUGGUAUCUCCUUUGUACUCCAUUAUUGAAACCGCUCGUAUGUGGAAAGGUUAUUGAAACAAUUUGAUCGAUUGGGCCAACAAAGGUGGUUAGUUGCUUCUUAUUGCUUGUCACUCACUGUAAUCUACUCCCUCCGUCCACAAAUAUACAACGUUUUGGAUAUAUCAAUACGUGCUAAUAUUUAUGAACGGAUGAAGUAUCUAUCAAGAUAUUGAGUUCUGCUAAGGUAAUGCUCCAUUGCCCCUUUGCAGGCGAGGUUCGGCCUCAGUUCAUGGCCAAUCAUCAAAGGGUUGCCGAGGUGGCCCAGUAUGCACCCUUGACUAGAAAUGGUGGUACAAUGUAAAAGAAAAACUAGAAAAUGGUGGUACAAAAUAACCAGUAAACCGUCUAGCCUGGAGAACAAAAUGGAAAUUUCUGUUGCUGCAUAUGUUGAUGCCUGGCAUACAUAUCUGAGUAAAGAGAAACAAAAGAAUUUCUAAAGGGACGCCUUAGAGGAUGUUGAUCUGAAGAUGUUACCUCUUGAAACAUGCUUUCGCCUAGUUUUUCUUGAAAUGAUAAGAUAUAUAUAUAUAUAUAUAUAUAUAUACCUAUAUAUAUAUAUAUAUAUACCUAUAUAUAUAUAUAUAUAUAUAUAUAUAUAUAUAUAUUGUUACUAUUCAUCACCUAGGGUGCAGAAUAAGUUAUUCUUCAUCCGAGGUAAUCUUACGAUAAUUUCAUAAUUAAAUUACGUUUGAAAUUCAAAUAGUUACAUUUCUGUUGAUUCACUACGUAAAAUUUGACAUAAGAAAAUAAAAAUAUAGAUCAUAAGACAAGAAAAUUUGCAGUUUAUGUGUAUUUUACACUAUGUUUUUACGUUUGUAAUUUUACAUAACAGAAAAUAUUUUUUACAACGAUUAUAAAUUUUCUUACAGUCUCUUUUUACGUCGGAAAUAAGACAAAACUUACGGAACGUAAAAUUACGAUGCAUUGAUGGUAAAAUAGACAGGGGUGAAGAAUAACUAUUCCUUAUCUAGGGUAACGAAUAGUCAAUGCCUAUAUAUAUAACAACAAACCAAAGUACAGGACCAGAUGAUACAAUGUGGUGUGGAGGUCUUCUACAAAGCAGAUUAAAGGACAUACAAUAAGCCUAGAACUAUCCUAACACCACUAAGACCCAACUGGGAAUGUCUGGCCUCCACGACAGCUCCUCGGGAAGGUGAUUACCGAAAAAGGCUUUCGCCCCGUUUUAUAUAUAAAGCAAUGACCGACCAUAGCUCAGAUACAAACGCACGCCACCCCAACAUACACACACACCCAAGGCUAGAUACAUAGGCACUAAGCGCAGCAACACUACCCCUAGUACUACACGAGCAACCGGAGUCCUCAACCGUGGACACGCCAACGCGAAGCGAAGAAGCCACAUAUGACGAACCGUGUGCUCCAAGGCGGCGCCUUCAAGAAGGUUACGACACCAGAGCGCCGUCACCGCCCGACCCGAGGAUCAGAGUUUCCCCUGGAGCAACAUGACGGGCAAUGAGAGUCGUGGCGACGCCUUCAAGAAGGGAGCGAGCUUCGCCGCCGCCAGUCCAUUCGAAGAUAGAUUAGGUUUUCACCCUAGCCAACACUCACCACCACCGGACGCCACAUCCCAUUGACCACGCCGCCCACACGACCAUGAUCACCGGCAGCACCUAACCACGGGCUCUGCCCAAGAGCACCACGGAGCCACCACCAAGGGCGCCGCCCUGGCAUCCAAGACCUGGACACCACCUCACUCGAGACCCACCGCUACCCCAACCAAAGGUACGGGCGGAAAGGAACGCCUAUCGCACCCCUGGGCUGCCCCCAACGCCGAAACCCAAAGGCUGGCCAAAAUUGGCCUCCAUCGAUCUGUCUUACUACCGGACGCGAGACGAGUACGGUCCUGCUGCCGGGCGCGAGACAGGCAUGAUCCUGUUGCCAGGCGUGAGACGAGGUCAGUCCUGCUGCCAGGCGCGAGAUGAGGUCGGUCCUACUGCCGGGCGCAAGACGAGCUCGGUCCUGCUGCCGAGCUCGAGACGAGCGAUAGACCGUAGUCGGAGGAGGGCCGAACCUUCGGCGAUGGUAGCAACUAGACGACGAGGAGAGGGCCGAAGGUCGAAACGGGCCGCCUACAGAUAAGCCGACGCCGGAAAACCAGCUGCCGCCCAGUCGACCCGCCGAGCUGCUAUGGAGCCAGCACGACGAAGCCACCUCGCCGUCGCCGCCCACAGCCGGGACCGCAGCCACGCCGGGCCGACGCCCCAAACCCGUGCCGCCGACCGGAAAAAGGCGAAAUCCGGCCGGCACGCAACACCACCACCGCCACCAUGCCGCCGCCGACGAGCGCAAUAGCCCUCGCGCGUCGCCGGCAGGCCCUUGCCGCCUCAGCCCGCGCCGCCCGCGGGAAGGAAGCACAACAACACCUUAGGCCGCCGGACGCCGGAUCCCGUGCCAGCCACCGGACCCGGCCCGCGCUCGCCACCCAAGGGUGCCCGAAGGAACAACCACACCCCCCGGGCAGCCGCUGAGCACACCAGCACCAGCCCCUACAAGGACCAGCGCCCGCGGAGCACGCCACCGCCGUCAACCUCCGCCGGCGCCGCCGACUGCAAGCCCCUGCACCAGAUCGAACGGAUCUGGGCAGAGCCUCGCUCGCGCGCCACCUCCCGAUCCGGAGCACCGUAGCCGCUGUGCAUCACCAAGCGCCCGACGCCACCGCACCGCCUCCGGCCGCCGCACCACGCGCCCGCCGCCGCGCCACAGGGNNNNNNNNNNNNNNNNNNNNNNNNNNNNNNNNNNNNNNNNNNNNNNNNNNNNNNNNNNNNNNNNNNNNNNNNNNNNNNNNNNNNNNNNNNNNNNNNNNNNNNNNNNNNNNNNNNNNNNNNNNNNNNNNNNNNNNNNNNNNNNNNNNNNNNNNNNNNNNNNNNNNNNNNNNNNNNNNNNNNNNNNNNNNNNNNNNNNNNNNNNNNNNNNNNNNNNNNNNNNNNNNNNNNNNNNNNNNNNNNNNNNNNNNNNNNNNNNNNNNNNNNNNNNNNNNNNNNNNNNNNNNNNNNNNNNNNNNNNNNNNNNNNCCGGCCACUCCGAGCAGCGGAGAAGAAGGGGCCCGCCGCCGCCGCGCCAACCGGGCUUUGUCCGUCAGCGCUAGCCGGCGGCGGCGGGGGAGGAUGGGAGAGGUGGGGGCGAGGGGUCCUGUGGCUAGGGUUUCCCCCUGUGACGCCCCAAUACCGGAGCUUCAGUUGCCUUCCAGGGUUUCCGGGUUUCUUCGUGUGACUUGUUUGGUUCAUUGCAUUCAUCAUUGCAUCAUUUUGCAUUGCAUCAUGUCAUCAUGCCAUCAUGUCUUUUUUUAACUCAACUAAAUAAAUGGCAUGGAUCUUUGAUCCAUUUAAAUCGAGGGAAGGGUGACUUCUCUUUAUAACAUAUCCUCUUGAUAUUAGGGAGCUAUUAUAAAUAUUUCCAUUCUUGUGGAAUUACCGUGACACACUUGCAAUUUAAACUCUCAAGUCUUUUCUGCUUCGAGUUGCUCCUCAAACCUUGCAAUAUAUUCUUUCAUCAUUUUCCGGAGCUCCACCAAAAAAUCCGAACAUUUAUGGACCUUCUUUUUACUGAAUCUUAGUUCAAACCCAUUUGAAUUAAAUUCAAAUGAGUUUGAAUUUAUAUCUUUUAAUCUUGGCCAUUUCUAUUUUCUUUGAACGAGCAUAUUUUUGUGAGUCCGGGAAAUUUAUCCGCGAGUCCAACUUCGUUCUCUAACCCCCCCACUUUCUUUCUUAUUCUUCUCUUGUUUUCUGAUAAAGAAAAUAUUAAGAGAAAGAAGGGAGAGAGAGAGAGAGCCCACACCCACAGGCCUUCUUGGGCCUAGGCCUGCCAGACCGGCCCAACCUCCCUGAGGCCUCAUAGCCUGCAUCUAAACCUAAUCCUCUCCCCUGUUCGAUUCCAGCGUCGUCACCACGAUCCCCAUCUCCCUCGCGCUGCACUCUUCUCCCCGAUUCCCUCGAUCCCAUCUCUCCCGUAUGCCGCGCCACCUCUCUUCUCGAUCUCUUCCUCGCUGCCAGCCCGCGACCUCUGCUGCCCCGCAAGCACCACCAACCUCCGCCGCCGCUCAAGUCCGAGAGCCCCGCACACCCUGCCUCAGCGCCGCCCUUCUCCAUGGCCACUGCCGGCCGAGCUCAAAGCUCCGCCCCGGAGCUGCUUCGCCCCGAGGCCCUGGCCUCGACCUCUUGGGCCUCUUCCUCGCCCUGCCGCCGUCGGAGCCAUGUGCCUCCCUAAGCUACGCACGUCGCUCGGCUUGGCCUAUGAGGCCAUCAGCAUCGCAGCGCCCCUGCUGCCUCCCUUUUCUUGCCGGCCUCGACCUCCUCUGCAAGGUGAAGCCACGCCCGCGCCAAGUUACCUACUCCUUCUCCACGCACGCGCCAGCGACCUCCUCAUCAUCUUCAACAGGAAGACGCCGCCAAGCUUUGCCCCUGGCCCUGCUUCUCCUCACUGAGGCCAUGGAUGCCUCCGACCUCGCCGCCAGCCGCUGUCGACCUCGCCGCCUUCCUGCAUGUGCGUGCCUCGCUGCUGGUCUCGUGCCAGAGGUCCCGCUCCUCACGGCCAUGGUGUCCGUCGUGACUGUACGCACCUUGCUGCUGCUUCAUCGGCCACCUCCCUUCGUUGACCACCAAGAACCGAGGCCUAUUGUGUUGCUUCAUUUGGGAUGCGUCAAGUUCCUCUACUAGCUGUGUCAAGUUCCUCUACCAUUCGUGCACGCCUCUAGAUUCAUCCAAGUUCCGACGAUGCUUUUGUACAACUAUGCCGCGGAGACCAAGACCGGCAAGUCCACACGGGAGCCCGAACGACUACUUCCACGACGAUACGAGAACAACUACCGUCGACGUGCAUUUUGCCAAGUACCACUACCGUCGACCCUCGAAGACUCCAUGGACGUCAAGUUUCUUGCCGUGCCCCUGAACAUCUACGGAAACUUGUGAGACUAAGAACGUGAACGACUACCGUCGCCACGAGAACGACUACUUCCUCUACCAUCGCCGAGUUCCACUACUUCCCACGACGAUCGUGAACGACUACACCGCUUGACAAGAACCGUCCCGUUUGCACACUUCGAAGGUAUAACCCUACACCGCUUGACAAGAACCGUCCCGUUUGCACACUUCGAAGGUAUAACCCCGAGACGACGUCCGUGAACGAAUGCUUGCGAUGUUUGAGAUGCUCGUGUUUGCACUGUGUCCAAAUUGUCACUUGUUCCCUUGUCGCCAACUCAUGGGACACCCGGAAUCCGGGAUCACUCCCCAUCACUCUUGCAUAUUCCGCACUCUUAUUCUUUUGCACCGGCCUUUCCACGAAUUUCCGGAUCAUCUGAAUGUGCCGUGGCACCAUUCCCGUUGUCGUUGUCAUGGCACCCCUUUUCGUUUCCGCCACGAUGACAAAAUGCUUCUUAAUAUGCUCUUAUCAAGAUUCUCAUAAAUAUUGCAUAAAACGUGCAUGUCAUCCGCAUCAUGAUAACAACAUCAAGUCUGUUUAAAAUUGUUGUUUGCUUUAAAAUUGCUAAAUGCAUAUGGGGAUUUACCGGAUUCGUUAUUUGUUAUAUCCGGCCCCAUUUAAAUUGUUUAGAUGGUGUAGUUUUGUUAUACCUCACCUCUUGCCAUGUUUAACAACAUUUAAUAUUGGUGAGUACAUAAACGAGAGAGAACUAAAUAAGUCAUGUGGUGUUUUCUUCAAUAUGCAACUCCGUUGCAUAUUGAGCUCCACUUAAUUUGUAGUGUUGUUUGUUGCACUUUGCCAUGUCAUGCUUCAUUAAACCGGACAUGCAUCAUACUUGAUUGUGCAUCAUGCCAUGAUUUUGUGGUGGUUGUUUACUAUGUUGUUUGCUCCUUUCCGGUAUUGCUUCUUCGGGUUGGUUCCGAUAACGUCGUGUUGUGAGGAUUCGUUCGACUACGUCCGUUUAUCUUCUUCAUGGACUCGUUCUUCUUCCUUGCGGGAUCUCAGGCAAGAUAACCAUACCCUCGAAAUCACUUCUAUCUUUGCUUGCUAGUUGCUCGCUCUUUUGCUAUGCCUAUGCUGCGAUACCUACCACUUGCUUAUCAUGCCUCCCAUAUUGUUGAACCAAGCCUCUAACCCACCUUGUCCUAGCAAACCGUUGUUUGGCUAUGUUACCGCUUUGCUCAGCCUCUCUUAUAGCGUUGUUAGCUGCAGGUGAAGAUUGAAGUUUGUACCUUGUUGGUGCAUGGAGAUGUUGUUCCUUGUUGGAACAUGUUUACUUGUUGGGAUAUCACAAUAUAUCUUAUUUAAUUAAUGCAUCUAUAUACUUGGUAAAGGGUGGAAGGCUCGGCCUUAUGCCUGGUGUUUUGUUCCACUCUUGCCGCCCUAGUUUCCGUCAUAUCGGUGUUAUGUUCCCGGAUUCUGCGUUCCUUACGCGGUUGGGCUAUUAUGGGAACCCCUUGACAGUUCGCCUUGAAUAAAACUCCUCCAGCAAUGCCCAACAUUGGUUUUACCAUUUGCCACCUAGCCUUUUCUUUCCCUUGGGAGUCGCGCUCCUGAGGGUCAUCGUUAUUUUACCCCCCUGGCCAGUGCUCCUUUGAGUGUUGGUCCAAACUAGAGUCCUGUGCAGCGCCCCCUCGGGGAAACUCGAGGUUUGGUUUUAGUUGUAUGGAGCGCUCAUCUGAGUGUGCCCUGAGAAUGAGAUAUGUGCAGCUCCUAUCGGGAUUUGUCGGCACAUUCGGGCGGUGUUGCUGGUUUAGUUUUACCAUUGUCGAAAUGUCUUGUAACCGGGAUUCCGAGUCUGAUCGGGUCUUCCCGCUAGAAGGAAUAUCCUUCGUUGACCGUGAGAGCUUGUGAUGGGCUAAGUUGGGACACCCCUGCAGGGAUUUGAACUUUCGAAAGCCGUGCCCGUGGUUAUGGGCAGAUGGGAAUUUGUUAACGUCCGGUUGUAGAAAACCUAAAGUUGACCUUAACUAAAAUGCAUCAACCGCGUGUGUAACCGUGAUGGUCUCUUUCCGGCGGAGUCCGGGAAGUGAACACGGUGUUGGAGUUAUGUUUGACGUAGGUUGUUCUAGGAUCACUUCUUGAUCAUAUAUUCUCGACCGUGCUUUGCCUUCUCUUCUCGCUCUCAUUUGCGUUGUUAGCCACCAAAUAUGCUAGUCGCUUGCUGCAGCUCGACCUCAUACAUUUUACCCUUCCUAUAAGCUUAAAUAGUCUUGAUCGUGAGGGUGCGAGAUUGUUGAGUCCCCGUGGCUCACAGAUACUUCCAAAACCAGUUUGCAGGUGUCGAUGUUACCGAGCAGAUGACGCAACCAAGCUCAAGGAGGAGCUCGAUGAAGAUCUUGUCCUUCGUGUUGUUUCGUUCUAGUUGAUCAGUAGUGGAGCCCAGUUGGGGUCGAUCGGGGAUCUGUGUAGCAUUUGGGGUAGUCUUCUUUUAUUUUGGUACCGUAGUCGGACCUUGAUUGUAUUUGGAUGUUGUAAUGUUUUAUUCAUGUAAUUGUGUGAAGUGGCGAUUGUAAGCCAACUAUGUAUAUCUUUCCCUUAUGUAUUACAUGGGUUGUGUGAAGAUUACCUCACUUGCGACAUUGCUUUCAAUGCGGUUAUGCCUCUAAGUCGUGCUUCGACACGUAGGAGAUAUAGCCGCAUCGAGGGCGUUACACCCCCCCCCCCCGGCGCUCGCAGGAGCAUCACGGGAGGGGAGGGCGCAAUUUCUGCACUCUGGGAACUCGGAUACAACAUGAGAGUAACAUUAAAGGAGGACAAAGUCUGGCCGCUCCCGCGACGCGCCCCGCGUGCGCGUCACGGGGGCCCUCGAUCUGCCGCCGGCGAACUCCUCCCCUCCAGCCUCUCCUCCCCCUCGCCGCCGUCGGAGGGCGUCCGCCGGGUGAAGCCCGUGCGACGCGGGCGGCGGCGGGGCCAUUUCGUCCCUCCCCUAUUCGAGGAUGCGGCGGCGCGGGUCAGCCGCUCGUGGGGGCGCGGAGCUCGGCGGGGCUCUCGGCGACGGGGACGUCGGGCUUCGACGGCCGUUAGGCUGGGAGUGAGGGCGCGCCGCUGCGUUGUUAGUGGCGGGGUGUUGGUCGGGCUCCCCCCGAUCUAGAUCCCGAUCUGCUGCAGGCGGCACGGCUGGUGUUGGCGGUGGUGGUCCCGGCCGUCGGUGGGCGUGUCUUGUGGGGGCUGGUCGCAGCUGUGCGUCGGCGCCUUCCCUCCUUGACCUUGUGGCUUGCCGUGACGGACCCUGUUUGGCCCCUUCUGAGUCAAGUCGGGGGCUUUUGGCCGCAGGCUUGGUGGCGCGGCGACUAGUCUGAGCUCCGGCGGCGCGCUCGUGUGGUGGCGCGGCGGCGGGGUUGGCUAGUAGUGGUGCGGAGGCUGCGCGGGACUGUGCCGUGGCUUUGGUGCAGGCGGCAGCCAUGGUGGCUGGUGGCGCGGGUGCGUGCCCGGCGGCUCCGCUGCUUGGAGCUCGCCGGUCGGCGCGGGUUGGGCAGUGGCCCGGGGUGGCUGCUGCUUCGGCCGUGGAUGGCUCCACGGCGGCUUGGCUAGUCGGCUACGGCGUCGGCUCGUCCGUUGGCCGCUUGUGUCAGCCCUUGAUCUGUCUCCUCGUCGUCCGGGUGCUAUCUCAGUUGAAGUGAUGGACCUCUCCCAACUAUGGCCCAUCAUUAGUCUCGCGCUAGGGCAGCAGGACCAAGCUCGUCUCGCACCCGGCAGCAGGACCGCGCCCGUCUCGCGCUCGGCAGCAGGACCAUGUUCUCUCGCGCCCGAUGCAGCAGUAUGAGUCGAUGGAUGCUAGUUUGCCAUGGGGUCCGCUUGUCUCUUCGGUUGGGGUAGUGGCGGGUAUCGAGUGAGGUGGUGUCGAGGUCUUGGAUGCCGGGACGGCGGCCCUGAUGGUGGUAGCAUGGUGCUCAUGGGCAGAGCCCAUUGCUCCGUGCUGCCUGGCAGCCAUGGCCGUGUGGACGGCGUGGUAGCCGGGGUGUGGCAUUCGGUGGCGGUGAGUGUUAGCCGGGGCGAAAACCUGCUCUAUCUUCGGACGGACCGGGGGCGCAAUUUCUGCACUCUGGGAACCCGGGAAGGUGAUUAUGCGAAGCGAGCGUGAAGCUCUCGCCCAGAGACUAGCAUGUACCACCAGGGGCGUCCCGGUCACCACUUCAACAAGGGUCAGUGCCGCCACAUCAGAUCUAGGCCUUGCCGGCCACAACCUCCCGUCACUACACGGUUAAAGCAUCUCCGCCGUUGCCCUCCUCCAGAACAUAUAAAAAUCACUCCCUGGGGACGAGCAGGCGAUACAAUCGACGCCGGGGCGGUUGGGCGUCCAGCCGUCGGCCCUAGGCGUCGAUAUUAGCCCACUUUUUGGCUCACUUUCGACAAAUAAAGGGCCCAUAUGGGCGAGAAUAGGCCCAUAUUCGGCGUGGUUCGUCGUGGCUCGGCGUUCAAUUGUCAACAUAAAUAUUUUUUUAUCACAUAGUUCAUCACAAAAAAUCAAAUACUUCAACAAAAUAGUGCAACAACAAAUCGUUCAAUACAAAUUAUAUAGUUCAACAAAUAAAAACUCAUCACACGUCGCGUCCGGCUUCGCCCUUGAGCCUCCAUAGGUGAUUCACCAGAUCCUGCUGCAGUUGUUGAUGCACCUGUGGGUCUCGGAUCUCCUGACGCAUACUAAGGUAGGCAGUCCAGGUUGCCGGUAGCUGGUGAUCAACUUCGGCUAGAGGACCCUUCCUGUAGUAUGGUUCUGUAUCAAACACUGGCUCUUCUUGCUCGUUCUCGAUGAUCAUGUUGUGCAAGAUGACACAACAAGUCAUGAUCUCCCACCACUACUAGAGAAAAGCUUACUAGUGGCGCUGGUUUUUUACAUACCAGUAGCGCGGGCACCCGCGCUACUGCUAGGGCGCUACAACUAUUAUUUAACAGUAGCGCGUUUCUAAACAAGCGUUGCAGCUAAAAUACUCAUUAGCAGCGCCGAUUUCUCCACCAAUGCUACUACUAUCAUCACGUAGUAGUAGCGCCUUAUUUUCUCCCCACGCUACAACUAGGCAAAUAGAAAUAAAAAAUAAAAAAGCAGUCAGGUGCAAUAUUCAUGGAAAUCAAGACAAGUCCAGUGCAAAUAAACUAAGUUCACAGAACCAUCUCACAAACAUUAACGACAGUACCACAUUUAAUAUAAUCACACAAUCUCACAAACUCAUAUAGUAGUCAACAAUGCAUGGAUAGAUCAUAUUUGAUAAGUCUACUAGGUAGUCAUACUAGCAUAUAUAUGGUUCAACAGCCACACGCAUGCAUAUGAAGUUCUAGAUGAUGUCGAUGACGACCAUCAUCCUCAAGCCUGGGCGAUCGGUGUUCCUGAUAGUAAUUAGGAUUGCCUGUCCAACAUGGAGAUUCUUGCCAACGAGGAAGCUCUUCCACCCAACUGAGUUGAAGUGUGUGUGACCGUCCGUGUCCACGCCGUACGCACAAGUGGUGACAGAGCCCCUUGCGGUUAGGCGUAUUCCAGCAGAGCCUUCUUCAUCAGGCUUGAUACCACAACUCUCAGAUAGGCUCUUUGGCAAUUUUUGAAUAAGAAAAAUAUAUCAAUUAAUAAGUAGCCUCACACAUUCUACACUAAGUAUAACAAUAAAGCAUAUAAUAUUCACUAAGCACAUAAGAUUCACUAAGCAUAUAUAUCAUCGGACUCUACACUAAGUAUAACAAUAAAGCAUAUAAGAUUCACUAAGCAUAUAAGAUUCACUAAGCAUAUAAGAUUGACUAAGCAUAUAUAUCAUCGGACUCUACACUAAGUAUAACAAUAAAGCAUAUAAGAUUCACUAAGCAUAUAUAUCAUCGGACUCUACACUAAGUAUAACAAUAAAGCAUAUAAGAUUCACUAAGCAUAUAAGAUUCACUAAGUAUAUAUAUCAUCAGACUCUACACUAAGUAUAACAAUAAAGCAUAUAAGAUUCACUAAGCAUAUAUAUCAUCGGACUCUAAACUAAGUAUAACAAUAAAGCAUAUCAUCAAAUUACUCUAAAAACUACAGUAAAUGCAACAUACCAUGAUAUGUCGAUUAACCAUGGUACUUGUCAGGCGGGUCACGAAUGGCACCCCGACAAAGUCAGCACGUGGCGGAAUGAUGUCCCAUAGGUUGCACACCUCCUCCUCGCUCAACUUCAUUCUUUGAGCUACGAUGGCAUCACCGAGUGGGUCGUCAUCAUCCUCAUCAUCCUCAUAAUCUUCUGCUUUGUUGACAUGAAUCACGGCCAGCUUGGGUCUUUCAGCUCUGAAGGAGAAGCUGAUCAACUCACCACCGGUGAUACGCAUGUGGUCGAUGAAAUGGACCCAUCCAUCUCCUCCCACGCGCGUCAUCUUUCGUCCUUUAUCGAUCUCCAUAGUGUAGGGGCCCCCAGGAGCCUCAAAGGUCACAGAGUCUCCAGUCAGAUUGUUGAAUUCUGACCUCACAUUGCAUGGGAUGAUCUGUGUACAAAAAGCAAAAUGAUAUAUACACGAUGCAUUAAUGCCAAUAACACUAACAACAAAAUAGUAGUUACUAGUUUCAUAUAAUUUAUUACCGCCGCAUGAAGAAAACUAGACUCGAAGUAGAUGCCAAACAGCGUGCCAGUUGCAAGGCUGCUGGUGCACCUUGACUUGCACCGUCGACAUGGUGGUGGUGGCGCCAUUUCCCUAAAGCAAUAUGAUUAAAGGAUUAAUGAUCCAAAAAGUAAACAUAAAGUUUUCAUAGCUAGAGUUCACAUGGCAAGCAAAAUAACAACUAAAAAGUAAACAUAAAGUUUAGUCCAGGGGAACACUUUAUCUAUUCCCACAUCCAAAAGUUGAACCAGCUUAGAAUCUUCCAGAACACAAUAAGUAAACAUCCAUUCCACCUUUGGCAUCAGAUGCACAAUAAUUAAAACUAUAAAAGGCAAACACCCCCCUUUUCGAUCAGAUACAACUCUUUGUCUAUCUGUGUUUUCUUUUUCUGAAAUUUACCAAAAACGGGCUCACUAACAACAUCAUAAGAACUUAGCAAUUUGAGCAUCACCACAUACAGAUACUCUCUCCAACCUGAAAGAGAGUAUCAAAUCAAGCAUUGAUUUUCCAUGAAACCACAUAACAGUGAGGGCUUCUUGGUCAUAUCUUUAUGUGCAUCAACAAAGAAGCUAGUGGCAGUAGCCAAGAAUUGAAACCCUCAACCGUUGCUGUCAUAUCAGAGCUAAAAAAAUGCUCACGAUUCUACGGUCGAGCACUAUGGUUGUUCUAGCAAAGGAAUGACAAGUAGUUACAAGUACUACAUCAAUGAUCCUAAAUGUCGAAAACAAUAGUCACGACAUGGACGCCCCCUCUCUAAACCCUAGAACACUAGGCACCGCCGCCGCCACCACUCCUCCAGGGGCAGCAGCCAAGAAUUGAAACCCAAGUUUCAAUUAUAUGUGCUAAAAGCCUCUACUUCUCUAGCUACUUCUCUCUACUCUCUCCUAAGUUUCGGUGAGAAAAGCCUUUACUUCUCUCACCUAACCCCUCUCUCUACUCUCUCCCCAAUCACGCGAGGAGCAUGUUGCAUUGAAGCGUGGAGCCACCAUGCAAUCCCUAAAUCCCAUCAUGCAAAUCGAUUGGAGCCUAGCUAGUGUUGCACGCGCAGGGAGGAGGAGAUCGAGGGGGACUUACGGGGCUGGAGCAUCGGAGUAGGCGAGAGGCGACUGCGUGUGGUGGCGGCGCACGACACCGUCGACGGGGGUGAGGCGGCCGGGGAUGAACCCUAACAGCGGGGGCAUCAUCGGGCGUAGGGGAUCGAUUGUGAGAGUGUGAGGGGGUGCGGGGGCACUCGGGCCAGUUUUCUUUUGCUCUAGCAGUAGCGCUGUUUAGAGGCCGGCGCUACUGCUAAGCCCACCAGCUGUAGCGCCCAUUCAAAACAAAUGCUACAGCUAAGUGGGCUACUGCUUUUUCCCUGCGACCCAUGUAACAGUAGCGUGGCCCAAGCAAACAAACGCUGCUGUUAUAUAUUAGUAGUAGAGUGUUUUCUGCCCAGCGCUACUGCUAAAUACUAGUAGCGUGGGGUCAUAAACAGGCGCUACUGGUAAACUUCUGUCUAUAAGAAUUUUCCUAGUAGUGCACAUUUGAUCUUUCAACCAGGUCUGAGCAGGGUACCGGACAACAGCAAAUCAAGAUUGGAGCACACCAAAUGUCCGCUCGACAUCCUUCCGGCAAGCCUCCUGCACCUUGGCAAAGUGGGACUUCUUGCCUCCUGGCACAGCGUUUGAGAUAGUCUUCAAAAAUGUAGACCAUCUCGGAUAGAUGCCAUCAGCUAGGUAGUACCCCUUGUUGUAGUGCCGCCCAUUGACCUCGAAGUUCACCGAAGGAGAAUGACCUUCAACAAGCUUGGCAAAGACAGGGGAGCACUGCAGCACAUUGAUGUCAUUGUGAGUUCCUGACAUACCAAAGGAGUGCCAAAUCCAGAGGUCAUGUGUGGCCACCGCCUCAAGUACCACACUGCAACCGUCUUUGCUGCCUUUGUACAUCCCCUGCCAAGCAAAUGGGCAGUUCUUCCAUUUCCAAUGCAUGCAAUCGAUGCUUCCAAGCAUCACAGGAAAUCCUCUCGCCGCAUUCUGUGCUAGGAUCCGAGCAGUGUCUUUCGCAUUGGGUGUUCUCAAGUAUUGUGGUCCAAACAGUGCCACCACUGCUCGAGAGAACUUUUAGAAACACUCAAUGCUGGUGGACUCGGCCAUGCGCCCAUAGUCGUCGAGUGAAUCAUCGGGAGCUCCGUAUGCAAGCAUCCUCAUCGUUGUCGUGCACUUCUGGAUCGAGGUGAAUCCAAGUUUGCCGGUGCAAUCCAUCUUGCACUUGAAGUAGCUGUCGAACUCCCUGAUGGAAUUCACAAUCCUGAGGAAGAGCUUUCGGAUCAUUCGAUAACGGCGCCAAAAUGUUUUGUCGCCGUGAAGUGGAGCAUCGGCGAAGUAGUAGGAGUAGAGCAUGCAGUAGCCUUCGAGACGAUGCCGGUUCUUUGCUUUCACCGGCCCCGACUGACGGUGUCCUGGACUAGGGGAUACUCACCACGUCGUCUCCCAGUCAGUUAGAUUGGGCCGAGGACCCCCAUGGCCGUAUACUCAUGGGCCAGUUCGGACAGCUGCCGCAUACAAGGAAGAUUCCACAAGACUUGGUGGUCAAGACAAGGACUCCUCCCCCACCGGCGUAUUUGGCUAGAACUCUUGUUAUCGUAGGCCACUGGUGCAUUAUAUAAACUAGGGCCAGGCUAGUCGAUAGAUAUACAAACAAUCAUAAUCAUAGGCUAGUUUCUAGGAUUUAGCCUCUACGAUCUUGUGGUAGAUCAACUCUUGUAAUAUUCAUAUCAUCAAGAUCAAUCAAGCAGGAAGUAGGGUAUUACCUCCAUCGCGAGGGCCUGAACCUGGGUAAACAUUGUGUCCCCCGCCUCCUGUUACCAUUCUCCUUAGACGCAUAGUUCGAGCCCCCUACCCAAGAUCCACCGGUUUUGACACCAACAUUGUUGCUUUCAUUGAGAGUUCCGCUGUGUGAUCGGCAAAAGGAUCGAUGGCUCGUCUGCAGAUUAACUGCGAUGUCGACAUCUUCAUCACCGGCUUGACUGGUCACCUUGGCUUGACCAAGGACUGUGCCCUGCCUCCGAUCAUCAUGUUCGGACGAGGGCCUUCAUCAACACCAACUCCGAUCUCUAUCAAGAUCAUGGAGGAAUCGUCCAUGGAGCUUGGGGGCUCAACGUCAACAUUGCCCUCGGGCGACCGUGCUGUUUUUCUGGACAGCGAAUGCGUAUACGCCACCACUGCCUCCUUGAGUGUCGUUUUAAUGAUCGCUUCGGUGGAAUUAUGCGGAAUCGAGUCUACAACAACCUUGGAAAAUUUUAUCGAGUUCCGAUGGAGGAAUCUCUGACAAUCUACGAUAUACCGGAGCCCUGUCAAAUCCAGACAGGAAUCUGGAUGAGUUUAGGGUGUGGUCUCCAGAGCCCAGCUCGGAAGUCCUUUGGAAGAUUCAACCGUUCCUCUACUGUGGAAUUCCCAUAUCUACCACCCCUCAAAAUUUCAGCUCGAUCCGACCGUCCAAACUCUGGGAACCUUUCGAUUAGUGCAUCACAUUACAGAUCUGUUUCCUGCGCGAAUACGGAUCCGACCCGAAUUCAUGUUUCUUUAUGAACGUGAUAUUUGACAACCUUUUUAAAAGGAAUUUUCUUCUAAGGUAUUGUGCGUUGUUUUUAACAUGCGCCCAUAAAAUUUUAAUCCUCCUCCGAGGUAAUCUUCGCCAUCACGCUGGUGCCAAACCAGUCCGGCAAUAUAGCUCCAUGACUGCCGACCUGCGCUAGACAUGUCGUCGCUUUUUAAGCCGAGCUCAACUUCUUCGGAUCCUCUCGGCGAGCCGAAUAAGAGUUCGGAAUCGCCAAGGAUAAAUCAUCACCAACAUCGGCACCCCAUGGAUUACACGGAGCAGGCACACCAGCAUCGCCACAUGGUCACUUCAUCAAACCAGCAUCGGCCGCGUCACAAGUUACGACCUGGGUCGGCAUGGCCGCACUGUUGCUUCUUCGAGCCAAUGUCCAUCACGCCGAACUACUUCAACACCUCGGCUGACAUGGCAGCUACAACAACUCCUCACCGGCCUGCUCCAUCACCUCGGCUUGACCGGGGACUUGGCUAUUUCUUCAUCAACAUACUCCGGUGACUUCGGCGUCACCAGCCGACCAGCUUCGUCAUGUUAGCUAGACCGAGGGCUUUGCCUCGGCAAGCCAACCUUUGCCAAGCAUCACCAGGCCAUCGCUUCAUCGCCUAUCAGGCAAUGGGGGUGCGGAUCGAUUCGCGAUUUUGGGAGUCGCUUUUCUUCGGAAUGCUACAACAAAUAAACUAGGUGCUAUUAAUCCUAAAUUUUUUUGCUUGUUGGGUUUAUUUUUCUUAAGAAAUUAUUACUCUGGUUUGUUCCAUCAUCUGUACACAGGUCUAUCAAAUGGCGGCCACAUUAAAAACGGUCGCGUGGUGGUUCGGUCAGUUUCCCUACAUAGUUGGGCGAACGCCGCAUCCGGAGUCCGGACCGCCCUGUAAAUUCAGGCUUUGUCACGCCUUCACUGGGUCACGCUGACGCCCUGCAUCGACAUUGGCUUCGGCGCCAAACCACCUUUCUUUAAAUAAAUUAUUUUUUCGUAAAGCAAUUAUGCAAGGAUUAUAUAUAUAUUAUUUCCUGGACCGCACUGUUUUAUGUGUGCAAGUAAUCAAUUUUGACUGCGUUAGGUGGUCACUACUCCGGAGUGGCGAACUCCUUGCUCGGACACCUCGGGCCUGGGGGCUGGGACCUCAUCCAUGCCGAGGACUACGAACCUUGUCGGAUCUGUCACAGAUCAAUGGGUGUCUUCGUCCCGUCACAAGCCCGAAUUGCGUUAUCAACACCGAGCACAUUAACCAGCUAAGUUGCUUUCAUGCUAAAAAACUUUCAGUUUUAAAUUUUGUUCGGUUCAACCAAGCGUCAUACUUCCUUGUCAAAACUUUGUCUGUGACACACAAAUUCAAAUACCCCGUUUACUUGGGGGCUUUCUUCAUGAAGCCUUUCCUCUUGCAUAUGAUUAUACUUGUACGGCUUUGUUCCUUGUUCGUGUAUUACGCCACAAUAUGCACCAUAUUGCCUUAAGUGUUUCGCAAGCUGGGUUGCCUGACUCCUGUGCUUAUCCCUAUGUUCCCGAUUGUUCGGCUAGGGAGUAAAGGGAGCACCUCUGCGAUUGUCACGACCGGGUCAUCCGAGCUCUAACCUCAGACUGGGUGAAGCCGAAAGCUAGCGCUCUUAUUAUUCUCAAUCAUGGUCGGCACAUAACGGAACUCAUGAGUACAAAAAAUCUAUUGCACAAGUCUCAUAGUAAUAAUGAGCACCGAAGAAAGGUAUCGAUGGGGGUACUAUUUUCUUCGAAGAUGCUUCUUACACUUCGUCUGUAAUAUAGCAUAAGUUCCCUGAGCACACUUUGUCUGUUACAGCCUUAUGGCCUGGUUGCCUGGUUAUCGAAAACACCGCCGAUAUACUCGACAGGUGGAGUACAUAACACUCUUCCGCCCUUGACCGAAGAGGGAGAAGCCGACGGUCGGUUAAGACGCGUUUAAAGUUCGGGUGAACACAUAUAUGAUAUAAGUACUUCGGUACAUACAAUCAUCAUACAUAAAAUUCUUUUACCCAAGUCACUUGGGGGCUCUUAAAAUUUAUAUAUGAGCUGUAAAUGUGUUUUCUUCUUGGUCGUCAAAACACGACAGAAGCACAAUUUUUUUUCUCGUCCAAUUUUCGGAUUGGCACCGAACACUUGAUCUUGUUCGGACGUCAUGUUUUUACUGACGUUUUUUUGGUUUUUCAAGAUUUUGGCACUUUUAAACUAUUUGUGUGUUUCCAGCACAAGUCUCGCAGUGCAACGUCAGACACCUUUAGAGAUUCGGCAAAAACAUUCUCGGAUCUUGCUAUAUAUGCAUUGGUUUCAAAUUGUAUCUUCGGUCAAUAGUUGGGUUGCCCGGCUCCUAUGCUUGACUCUUAUGUUCCUCUUUGUUCGGCUAGGUGUGCAAUGGGAGAACCACUGCGAUUGCGCUUCCAGCUCACAUGGUUAAGCACCUCAGUGGAGAAAGCCGAAAACUGACUAUCACAAUAAGCGCAAACUGGUCAGCGAUCCGAUGACCGUGUUAAAUGAUGGGCCAUUCAUAACAUUGGCUGAAGUGUUUACGACUUGACCUCAGCUGUCGCCGAACACUAACCGGGGGCUCGUAGCUAGCUUCCCUAGUUUAAAACUCUUAUGACCAAGUGAAAGUUAUAAAGCUAAGAUAUCCGAUUGCCUCAUUUCCGCUAACACAACCGCCUUCGGGCACCAAGACGUCGGCUAAAGGGUUGUCUGGUUAUUGCAGAAACACCCUGCAUAGUAUCUACAAAGGGGUAGAAGCCGACUAUGGGCCACUUUCAACUGAUAAACGGUCGCAAUGGAGUCAAAAUAAGUAUAUAUCAUCAACAUUUGUAUUCAUUAUACAUGUGUUGCCUUCCGUAAUUAUCGUUAUAUAAAGCCAUAAAUAUGCAUCAAUUUGACUUACGAUUUUGGCCAAGCUGGGUUGCCUGGCUCCUAUGCUUACCCUUAUGUUCCCGAUUGUUCGGCUAGGCGGUAAAGGGAGCACCCCUGUGAUUGUUACUAUUGGGUCAUCCGAGUUAGUACCUCAGACUGGAUGAAGCCGAAAGCUAGCAAUCUUAAAGGAUCACAUUGGUCGGCAACGACGGAAGUAAAUUCUUUGGUUCAUUAAUACCAUAGAGUUCGAGAACUUUGUCCGAACUAAAUCCUCAAUAUUUUCCUCCCACAUUGAUCGGAGCUGAGGUUUCAUGAUCAUGCUUAGCAUGACAACCCAAAGAAAGGAACCGAUAGUGGGACAAUGUUCUUUGGAAGAUGUUUCUUACGUUAAAAAGUAAUAUAACAUAUCUCUCGGCGUACCUUUGUUUAUAAAACUGUAUGGCCGGAUUGCCUUGUUUGCCGUAAAUCUUUGCCCUCAUAAAGGCUUUAUAAAGUAGUACAAACACUCCUCGGCUGCUAGUCAAGGAGGUGGAAGCCGAUGGUUGGUCAACAAAGUUUUUAUAAUGCGGAUCCGAGCAUUAAUGAUGUAAAGUACUUGGAUACAUAGAAUAAUUACACAUAAUUUGUGAUUUUAUUACAGAUAUCGAUCCUUAAUUCGGCCACCCGUGCCCACAUUAAGGCUCGGGGGCUACUGGGCUUCGUGCUUACCAUUUAAAAAUAUUAAAGGGGUAUAUCGAUUCCCUGAUCUGGUGUUGCCACCCGACCAGUGGCUCGGGGGCUACUGCAUUAACAAUCCAAUGCAGAAAAUUUAAAGUACAAUAUAGUUUUCGAGGAGAUUAUUGUGCUCAAGUUGGUCGGCCGCACCCAACCCGAGUCUCGGAAGCAGCCCAUGGCCAAGGUGGUGCAUCACCUUGGAAGCAGUCCGGCAUAAAGCUCGGGCGCCAGUGGCUGGCUCCAUAACAGGCAUUUCCGACAUUAAGCUCGGCUAAGCUCCUUCAAACUUUUUUGAGCCAAGGUGAUCUAUGACACCUCGGAUAUAGUCCGGCGUUGAAGCUCGGAUACAUUCCGGCGUUGGAGCCCGGAUGCAGUUUGGCGUUGGAGCUCGGCUGUAACAAUACUCUUAUGCAAUCCGGCGUUGGAGCUCGAAUACAUUCUGGCGUUGGAGCUCGGAAGCAGCUCGGCGUUGGAGCUCGGCUGCGAAAGAUAAAUCGGAUGCAGUCCGGCGUUGGAGCUCGGACGCAAGAGGACACUGCCGCCUGGGAACAACUUCAAACCCGAGGUGUGGCAUAAAAAUAACAAGGCAUUGAUAAAGGCCGGAAACUUAAAGGGGCUCCUCGGAUACCCGACGUAUAAGCUCUUCGGAUGCAUGUUGGUGAUCCUCAAGAUCGAAGAAGAUUUGUUGAACCAGUUUUCAAGACCGACGACCGAAGAUGAAGAACAGUUCAGAAGAAUCGAGGAGCGUCCCCAACUUGAAGACCGGUUCAGGGGGGCUACUGACGGUGUCCUGGACUAGGGGUACUCACCAUGUCGUCUCCCGGUCAGUUAGAUUGGGCCAAGGACCCCCAUGGCCGUAUACUCAUGGGCCAGUUCGGACAGCUGCCGCAUACAAGGAAGAUUCCACAAGACUCGGUGGUCAAGACAAGGACUCCUCCCCCACCGACGUAUUCGGCUAGGACUCUUGUUAUCCUAUGCCUCUGGUGCAUUAUAUAAAUCAGGGCCAGGCUAGUCGAUAGAUAUACAAACAAUCAUAAUCAUAGGCUAGCUUCUAGGGUUUAGCCUCUACGAUCUCGUGGUAGAUCAACUCUUGUAAUACUCAUAUCAUCAAGACCAAUCAAGCAGGAAGUAGGUUAUUACCUCCAUCACGAGGGCCCGAACCUGGGUAAACAUUGUGUCCCCCGCCUCUUGUUACCAUCCGCCUUAGACGCACAGUUCGAGACCCCCUACUCGAGAUCCGCCGGUUUUGACACCGACACCGACACCGAGCCACCUCGCCACGGCUUUUCAUUGCUCGCCAGCAGCUGGGCAAGGGCGGCGAGCACCAUGAGAUGCUCUUCUUCCUGGACGUCGGCCUCGGCUUCCUCCUCCAGCAGCGCGGCGAGCGCUUCCUCGUCAUCUGAGUCCAUCGCCGAGGCAGGCAAAUUGCCGAACACCUUGCGCCCGGUGGGCGUGUACCCGCCGCUAAACUGCCCCUUCGCGGUCGAAAACGGCGGCCGGAAACGCCCAGCUGCUGGUGGAGGGGCUGCCUCGGCGAACCUCUGCUAUUUUUCCGGCGGGGAUUGGCUAUCUAGCGGUGAAGGGCGGCGGGCGGCACCGGGAUACAACUAGUGGCGACCGAGGGCGCGAGGGGUGGGAGGCGAGUCGGGGAAAAAACUUGACUUUUCACCUGACGGUGUGGGCCAGCCGCGCUUUUCCCUUGCGCCGGAGCCCCCGAUCGCCCCAGUGCACCGGGUUCGGCCUGCGACCGCCGGGCCCAAAAAGGGCCGAACCGGCGCUUUUGGCGUCCUGGGGCGCGACUGGGGCUUUUUUUGGCGCCGACGCCGAAAAAGUGGCUUGGGGGGCCUGUUGGGGGCGCGGCUGGAGAUGAUCUUAUACCCCUUACCGCCCACACGAUCAAGAGGUGCAACCUAUUAUGUUAAAAUUUUAGCUUGUUUUGACAGAUGGUUUGGAUGAGACAACCUAUUUUUCUAGUUUUAGAGUAAAAGUUUGGGGAGAGUUAAAGUUUGGGGUUCAAAGUUUCUAUGUGCACAAAAAAAAAACACUGAAAACUGCAGUAUAAGUGGCACAUAAUUCAGUAGACAUUGUGGUAUAAUUUCAGAUCAUUUUGAUAGACAGUUUGGAAGAACACUGAUUGUUCACUUUCUGUCAAAACUUUUGGGUUGAGAUUCCAAACUGCGCAGAAGAAAACAAAAACAUUAUAACAUAUUCACGGCGACGCGGCCAGAGAGCUGAGAGAAAACCUUGUACAGUCAAAGCCAAUCAAUCACAAGGUAGGGGCCGGGGUAUUUUAAACGGUUUUGAGAAUUGACGAGGAUAGUUUCAACCAAUGUAUAGUUUAAGAGUUGAAAACUAAACCCAGCAACAUAUUUGAAGGGGUCAAAAUGAAUUUACCUUCUUCAUUCAUGAAACCGGCAAACCUUUUGCCUUGUGUUUCGGAAACAAAUGUCGUAUAGCAAAAUCUAUCAAGAAAAUCUACACCCAGGUCACAGGCGAUACCCGUGGUCCGUGGAUCUAGUCACAUCAUUCUUUCUAGCGGUCUCUAGCCGUUUUUUCUUUUCUCGAGGUAAACGGCUAGAGACCGCUAAAGACUACCAAGGUUCCUUUGUUGCAUUCUCACUCAAUUUUCAUGUCGUUUUACUCAGUGGACCAUCGCCACAUUUACCCGGUCCAACAAUAUCUUAAGAAAAAAAUAAAGUGUAACAGUGACUUUUUGUGCGUGGUAUGAACAAUCCAUUUGCAAAUUGUUGUCCCGUCUGUUAUCUUGACCAAAUAGGACAAUCCAGCAGCUUUCAUCUGACUCCCACACUCCCACUUUCAUCUGACUUCCACACAUGGCAAUUAAUUUGCCGUGCGUAUUGAACGGAGCAGGGGUCAAGUAUGCCAGAACAUGGCGCUCGUACCUUGGCGCAUCACAGUUACGGUUGCCUGCUUCCAGCUCACAGAAAUGGCAGCAUCUGAGGUCUCCCGUAUACUACAAACAUUUUGACCAUGACUCGUUGCUCGUUCAGAGGAUGACUUCUUGACUCCUCAAGUCUUCUGCCUGUCAGCGACACCAAGUCUAGGUCUUUGUUUUCGCAUGCAUAUUUUAGUUUAUCAAGUGCUGCUUCACCAAAAAUGGUUGAAAAUGACUAUGGGGAAAUGCCAAUUGGUCGAUGUUGCAGUGGUUCAGUCUCUAACGCAACUGGGCCCAGCUGUCCGGCAACUAUGGGGGCUGCUAUUCCAGAGGCCGAAUCCAAGCCCUGUGGUAAACUGGGCCGGUUAUGCCAGCCCAUUAAGCUAACACCGUGUUCUCGCUCGACAGGGGAUGUGGAUCGUCCGCUUAUUGUGCUCGCUGCUCGCUGGACAGAGGAGGUGGAGGAGGUGGAUCGGUGACAGGGGAAUCCAGCCGCCCCCGACGCGCGCGACGCGCUCGAGCAGGAUGGUAAAGCGCGCAAGCCAUGCCGGGCGACGUAGGCGAUCUGUCCUGGAGCGGGAUCCAAGCCAAGCGACCACGACGAUUUGAUCCAGCGGCGGACAGGCCACUGUUCUGUCUGUUCAUCUCUCUGUCCGCGUGUCCUGCCAGAGUUUGAUUCCAGCCGCUAGCACCAACUCUCCACCUUGGGUUCGUCCACUAAGAAUUCAAUCACCGGCCGCUAGCACUCCUCCCGGCCAGAUGGUUCGGCAGCCUAUGUACCUACAGGAAAAUCCUCCUUCUCGUUAUGAGAGAGAUUGUUCUUGGGAUUUUAAUGUGUGCAGGCUACGGGUGACAAGCCGGUGGUUCCAUCAGUUAGAAGUGUAGCGUUUUCUUGAUCUCUUUUCUCUGUCAGGUCAAAUUACAAUAAUAUUUUUCUAAUGCGAUUUGAAAAGUUUUAUCAAAUCCACUGAGCAAAUGAGACUGCAAUACUUGGUUUGUGCUCUAGAAUUAUAAGACUUGCUUAUAAGUCCUGCUUAUCUUUUUCAUGUGAACUAUAAUUAUUUUUCUUUUUCCAGCUAUUGAAAUUUGUAGACGAAGGGCAUGUUCUAUACCAUGAUUUAUGAUUUGGCACAUCAGUAACAUCCAAGAGAGGAUAUUCUUCUAACUUUACUUUACAAUGUGAGUAUAUCCUACUCUAAAUUUCUCAUGUUCAACCGGCAGCAUCUGCUCUAUUUUGAUGUUUCUAUCAUUACUUCCAAACUGUGCACCUAAGCGUAGGAUAAAAGUAUUCAAGUUAAACAAGUUGAUAUUUGAUUAUCAAGCGGUGAAGUACCCGGCCUCGGAUCCCUUGGCCGCGAUCCCUGUUGCCCCCGCGGCCCCCGCCGCCCCCGCCGCGGCCACCGCUGCACCCACCGCGGCCAUCCCUCCUCCCAUCGCGGUCUCCGCGGCCCGUCUCCCGCCUGACGUCGUCCAGGGCAAGCAAGCCGUCCCCGCGGGCGUCACCUCUUCCUCGUCCCUGGCGACCCACGGCGCCCUGCCACCACUCUUCUUCAGACGGCCGGCAGUGUCCCCGUCCAGCCACUCCACCUCGGCGGCUCCAGCGGCGCUCUCGUGCCCCGCGUCCCCGCCCCUGCCGUCGGCUCUUCUUCCUCCGACGGCCUCCCGCCGUCCAUCUCUCACCCACAAUCAUCAAAAACCUCAUCUCCAUCCGUCGUUUUACUCGCGAUAACUCUUGUACUAUUGAAUUUGAUGAGUCUGGUUUUACUGUGAAGGACCUCCUAACCCGGCGCAUCAUGAUGAGGUGCAAUAGUUACGGUGAUCUGUACCCUUUCUUCAGCAACGUCGGCGUCCAGCAUGCGCUCUCCAUGGUCGGCAACUUAUGGCAUCUCCGUUUGGGCCAUCCCAGCAAUAACUCUGUUUCCAUUUUAGCCAAAAAUUUCCUUCCUUCUUGUAAUAAUGACAAUGCAAAAUCUAGUGUUUGUGCUUCUUGUCAAUUAGGAAAGCAGCCCCAGUUGCCCUUUUAUUCAUCUUACUCUGUCACCACCGCUCCUUUCCAAUUAAUACAUUACGAUUUAUGGACUUCUCCCGUUUGUAGUUUCUCUGGUUAUAAGUAUUACCUUAUUAUACUUGAUGACUACUCGCAUUUUUCAUGGACGUUUCCGCUACGUCACAAGUCUGACACCGCCGCGAUAAUUUACCGUUUCUUUACUUACGUACUCACCCAAUUUCGUGUCCCUAUCCAGUGCAUGCAAUGCGACAAUGGCGGCGAGUUUCUCACCAUCGACGUCCGUGAGCUUUUCACUCGCCAUGGCGCCUCUCUCCGUCUCUCAUGCCCUCACACGUCGCCGCAAAACGGUAAAGCCGAAUGCCUUCUCCGCACAACCAACAACAUCAUUAGGGUCAUGCUCAUUCACGCCCAACUCCCUGCGCCGUUUUGGGUGGAAGCCCUCCAUACGGCCACCUACGUCCUCAACCGACGACCCUCAUCCUCCAUCCAAUCCCAAACACCAUUCUACCGCCUUCUAGGACACCACCCCUCGUACGAUCAUAUGCGUGUGUUCGGUUGUCUCUGCUUUCCUAACACCUACGCCACAAGUGCCCAUAAACUCGCUCCACGCUCCACCAAGUGCGUCUUCCUCGGCUACGCCCUCGAGCACAAGGGCUACCGUUGCCUGGAUCUCCAGACUCGCAAAGUCUUGAUAUCCCGUCACGUCACCUUCGAUGAGUCCGUUUUUCCUUAUACUACCGGUGACACACCCUCUCCCACACUACCUGCCGCAAAGGAUCCCGAUGCCCCCAUCUUUCCCGAUCCACGGAUCCCACCUACCUCUUACCGAUCCCACCCGGGAUCUGCGCCAGCACCUGCCGCCACUAGCGCGACCGCCCCGACCGCAUCCCCCAUGUCUCCCUCGCACGACGAGCUCUCCUCCCCAGCGCCCACUCCCGAGCCGCCAGCUGCCGCACACACCCCCACUUCCCCGCCUGCCAGCUCCCCCGGGCCCGCCACUUCCCCCUGCCAUUCGCCCGCUCGCAUGCAGUGCACCCCAUCGCCAUGCAGUGCACCCCCAACCUCACCCAUGCAGUGUGCCCCAUCGCCAUGCAGUGCAAACCAGCCGGCCACCGCCUGAACACCUCCCCUGCCUCCACGCGCCGUCCCUGUCGUUCCGCCACUCAAUACCCACAGCAUGCGCACACGGGCCAAAAACGGCUUUGCCCUUCCCAAGCAGCAAGUCUCUCUCCACACCACUACUACUCCCGCCAUUAGCCCCAUCCCCUCCUCCUACCGUACCGCUCUCAAAGACCCGAACUGGUACAAUGCUAUGCGUGAGGAGUAUCAUGCACUAAUGCGGAAUAAUACUUGGUGUUUAGUGUCUCGUCCUGCAGGUGCUAAUGUGGUUACAGGGAAGUGGAUCUUUCGACACAAGUUCCAUCCCGACGGCUCGCUCGCUCGGUACAAGGCCAGAUGGGUCCUUCGCGGUUUCACUCAGCAAGCCGGCGUCGACUAUGGCGAGACAUUCAGUCCCGUGGUCAAACCGGCCACCAUUCGUGCGGUGUUGAGCAUCGCCGCCGGCAAGUCGUGGCCCAUUCACCAACUUGACGUGAAGAAUGCCUUCCUCCACGGUCAUCUUGCCGAGACGGUGUACUGCCACCAGCCAUCCGGCUUCAUCGACUCCGCCAAGUCUUCGCACGUCUGCCGCCUCAACCGUUCGCUCUACGGCCUCAAGCAGGCGCCACGCGCAUGGUUCUCGCGGUUCACCACCUACCUGCGCACUCUCGGCUUCACCGUGUCCCGCUCUGACUCGUCGCUCUUCGUCCUUCGCCGCGGUCCGCACCUCACCUACCUCCUCCUGUACGUGGACGACAUCAUCCUCACCGCCGACUCCAGCGCCUUCCUCCAGAGCAUCAUUCAGUCGCUGCAUCAGGAGUUCUCUAUGACGGACCUCGGCGCUCUUCAUCACUUCCUCGGCAUCAAUGUCACGUCCACGACUACGGGGUUGUUUCUCUCAGAAGAGCAAUAUGCUCUUGAGAUCCUCGACCGCGCCGGGAUGCUGAACUACAAGGCGAUCUCCACGCCUGUCGACACACAGGCCAAGCUCUCUGGUGACUCCGGGCCGCUCUUCCACGACCCCUCACUCUACCGCAGCUUGGCUGGCGCUCUGCAGUACCUCACCUUGACGCGCCCCGAUCUCUCUUACGCCGUGCAAUAGUGUUGUCUGUUCAUGCACGCGCCCCGGGAGAGUCACUUCCAGCUCGUCAAGCGCAUUCUGUGCUACGUCCGCGUCACUACACACAUGGGGUUGCAGAUUCAUCGCUCCGCCGCGUCCGAGCUUGUCGCCUACUCCGACGCCGACUGGGCCGGUUGCCCUGACACACGCAAGUCCACGUCCGGCUAAUGUGUGUUCCUCGGCUCCAACCUGCUCACAUGGUCCUCGAAGCGGCAAAACAUGGUGUCUCGGUCCAGUGCUGAAGCCGAAUACCGUGCCGUCGCAAACGCCGUCGCUGAGGCCGCCUGGAUCCGACAACUCCUCGGCGAACUGCAUCAACCCCCUGCGCGCGCCACCGUCGUCUACUGCGACAACGUCUCCGCCAUGUACAUGUCUUCGAACCCCGUGCAGCAUCAGCGGACGAAGCACGUGGAGAUUGACCUUCACUUCGUGCACGAGCGCGUUGCCUUGGGCGAGGUCCGCGUCCAGCACGUCCCCACGAGCUCCCAGUUCGCCGAUAUUUUCACCAAGGGCUUGCCGUCGAGCGUGUUCGGCGAUUUUCGGUUCAGCCUCAACAUCCGGAAUCCCCAGGUUGUGACUGCNNNNNNNNNNNNNNNNNNNNNNNNNNNNNNNNNNNNNNNNNNNNNNNNNNNNNNNNNNNNNNNNNNNNNNNNNNNNNNNNNNNNNNNNNNNNNNNNNNNNNNNNNNNNNNNNNNNNNNNNNNNNNNNNNNNNNNNNNNNNNNNNNNNNNNNNNNNNNNNNNNNNNNNNNNNNNNNNNNNNNNNNNNNNNNNNNNNNNNNNNNNNNNNNNNNNNNNNNNNNNNNNNNNNNNNNNNNNNNNNNNNNNNNNNNNNNNNNNNNNNNNNNNNNNNNNNNNNNNNNNNNNNNNNNNNNNNNNNNNNNNNNNNNNNNNUCCGUGCACAUCAUGCGCGCCCACGCCCUUGCAUGCACGGCAUGCUCGGCGUGAUCCUGCAAUCUAGCAAUGUCCGCCUCACUCACUCCUCCUGUAUCUCACCUCGUUGUAACUGUAUAAAUCAGCCCAUCGAGGCAAGGAAUAAACAUGGAGUGAGUUCGGCAAUCCAACUGAUUCAUAAUAUGUUAACUGGUGCGGUACGAAAGUGGACAAAAGUGAUUUUAUUGGGAUCCAGCUGACGCGUUCGAGCGAGAUCCAAGUGAAGCGCGCAGCAUUGCCAGCCACGACCAUGAUGACCUGCUCGAGUGGGAUUCCAAGAUGACUGGCCUGGCAGCGGAAGCCAGCGUCUAGGGAUCGCAAAGGUGAGCAGUCACACAUCCACGAGGUUUGCUUCUCUUCGAGUUCAUCGGCCGCCUUGGGGUCCUGGGCAACUUGUCCUGAUAAGCUCCUCUGAAACACCACUCCCCUGGAGCCAGGCACGACAUUUGAUCAACACGCGCCUCCACUCUCCUACGGGCUACGGCCGUAGCUUCUUCCCACACCCCACGAUGCUGAAUAUUAAAUGAUUGUCCAUUUGUCGUACUACAAAACAAUGUGCAAGUAUAGAAAAUGCAGCCAAAUAUUUAUCAUGCUCACACUAAAUCACAAACACACUGGAGGUGCACCGUCAAACAAAAGUAAGUCCCAAUACAUGCCAAAGUAUACACAUCUUUCUGUCUAACAUGGCAGUUUGAGAGACCCAUAGCUUCUGGUAGAAAAAUUGGAGAAAGAAAUACAUAUUUCCUGGAAGUGUUAUUCAUGUCUUACAUGCUCGCACAUUUAAUUGUAGUUUAUGCUAGCUUAAUUUGUAGUUAUGUCCGUAAACACACACUUCAUAUGUUCUCCCUGUGCCCAAAAAACCUCAUCUUUAAGACCAAGUGCAUAUGCAUCAUAUAAUGAUGGGAAGUGUUAGAACAUGUAGCCAGGUAGGCAGGUGGUUAUAUUCAUCUGGCCUGCCGUGGUUCUGGGAUGUUUGCUCCUGCUGAAUUGUUAAUUGUGUAGCUGUAACCAUAUUCUGGAAGCAACUUGAGUAUAGAGCACCCAAAAAUAAAAAACAACAUAGACUACAAGUGUCGCUGGACUGCAUCUGAAACAUAUUUACGGAAAUUUAUAGAGUAAAUAGAAUGGAACUCUUCAUAACUCACACCGCAGUGGUUUACAGCUGGUUCAUGAAUGCAAAUAAAUAUAUUCGAGUUUGUCUAAUCAUUGCAGAACCACCUAAUAUUCAGUCAGACAAUAUAUUGCAGUGAUUAUUAGUGCUUUUUUUUAAAAGAAAUGCAAAAUCUGCAUUACUACGUGGACGAAGCUGACUCGCUCGCCACUAAAGCUUUUAGAUCAGCAGUUACAUUGUCUGCAUUUAGCUCAUCAUACAGGUUCAUGGAACAUCCUUUGUGUGCAAGUACAUGAGCUAAAUUAUUACAAUUCCUACUAGCAAAGCUAAAGGUGAUCUAAUUAAAGUUUUGGCAGUGCUUAGGUAACUUAUGGUAUAAUUGAUGUUCAACAUUACUUUAUAGAAGAUCAUCAUUUCUUCUCUAUUUACCUGCUCAGUUCAUUUAUAUUGCAAUCAACUAUACUGAAAGAAUGUGUCAAUCUAUAGUGGUACUGGAGUAUAUAGAAACUGAUUAAGUAGUGUUGCUAGCACUAAAAUGGCACAAAGAGAUGCAGAAAAAAACACUUCUGAGGUGAUCAUGACCAUUGUGUAAUUCAGAAAGUUGAUUAUGUUACUUUUGUGUAGUGUAUCUUCCAUGGUGACAUAAUCUCUGUCAAUGUUUGUACAACAAAGCAUGUACUAAGUUCUUUGUUGAAUCAAGCCUACAGUAUUCUGAGUCUACCAGUGAAGCUUUAUUGUGGUCAUAUACAAUAUCUCAUUUUUCUAAGAGGCUGACAUAUAUUAUAAAGUGCCACAAUAAUUGAAGACCAACAGGAACCGUUUUUUUCUGGCAUACUUUAAGCGCAACUAUACUGCAGCUUCUCAAGGUAUGCAAAUUAUGUCCUCUCACACACCCCUUGCAUAAUCUUUCAAUUAUGUCCAAAAGAUGGGUUCACCAAGUACAAAGUUUGUCUUACCAUUGUUAGCUCCCCAUUUCAUUCCCUACAGAGCUCUGUCCUUAACUGUAAGACUGGAUAUUCUUUCAAACACAAAAUAUAACACAUCUGAGGUUCAGUUUGUUUCUACAUGCCAGUAGCAUCACAAAUGAUAGGGAAAAAACCCGAUAAUCGCAUCAUGUAGACCAGACAAUGUUCCAACUCAGAUAGCUGCCCUUAUUUAUCAAUAUUUUAUUGUUUACUUUAGUGUUAGUGAAAAUUGUCUUACUGGAAUCCUUCCAUUCUCUAAUAUCCAAUUUUAUUGUCAAGCAGAAAUCCAUAUUUUAUUCUCUACACGGCCAUGUCCUUAAUUGUAAGACUGGGUAUUCUUUCAAAUAUAACACAUGUGAGGUGGAGUUUGUUUUCUUCUUGGCAGUAGCAUGACAAAUGAUAUGUAAAAAAACAAAUCGACACGCACAUCAUGUACCAGACAAUGUUCCAAUUGAGAUAGCUUCCCUUAUUUAUCAAAAUUUUAUCUUGACUUCAGUGUCAAUGAAAAUUGUCUUAUUAUAACCUUCCGUUCUGUAAUAUCUUAUUUAUUGUCAAGCAGAAUUUUUCUUCUUAGUUCCUUGUUGCCUACACAAGAUCACCUUUUGGGUGCAGGCUGCAAUUGUUUAGAAGACAUCAAUAAGAAAUAGAACAAUUAGAGAGUAAAAGUCCGAUGACCAAUACCGACUAAGGCAUAUGAGCACAUUGAAAAUGUUGUAAUAAAUUAUCAGCUUCAUAUAUUUAUGUAAAUUUUGGCGUCCAUAUACUUAUGUAAGCUCCUAACAUUCUAUUGUAGAAAUAGACGGGCGCAGCAACGGCGCCAUCGAUGAUCUAGUAUAAUAUUAAAAUGAGCCCUACAUGUCCGUCGUCACAACUACUCCUCCAUCCCACAAUAUAUAUAAGAUCGUUCAUCCGUCCCACAAUUUAUGGCAGUGCCUCUUAUGUGUUCUCGUAAGUAGGCGAUAGAUCGUUCGAACACCAUUGCCCAAAAGGGUGGUGGUUAACCAGCUCGAACACAAAAUUGAAUUUAUUUCCUUCAUUCGUUAGGGUGUAUUUUGAUUAUCUGUUAAGACAAGACUUUGAGCAAUAGUUGCUUUGUUAAUCGGGGAUGUUAAAAACCUGGCGUCAGUUUUUAUGCAUGAAAAAUCGAAUGUCUUUUAUGGCAAAAUUAUGUUGUCAUGAUGAUGAAAAUUUCCUUUAGCAAGCAUGAGAAAUCCAGGAUUUGCCAUUCUUGCUAAAGGAAAUUGUUAUCCUAGCGACAACAUAAUUUGCCAUGAAAAACAUUCGAUUUGCCAUGCUUAAAAAAUGAUGUACAAUUUGUAGUGAAAUCCUUGUUAAUAUAUGGCUGGUGUGAUAAAACCACAACUAUAAUUAAACAUUUUUCAUACAGAUCUAGUGACAUGAGUUUUAUAUCACAUAGAUUGCAUGAUAAUUGGUUAAGUGGCCACUAACAAAAGUAUUGUCUUAACUAAUUAAAAUACGCUCUACAACGGCUUAUCUAUGUUUCAUAAACAUAAAGUUCCGUCUAAUUUCCAUCCUGCAACUUAGAUAUGGUGGACUGUGGAUUGAGUUUGAUAAAAUACAACGUUACUUCCAGAUAUGACGGCGAGGUUCCACUCAUGGGACUUAAAUAUAGAUGAAUCAUUGGUUGAAUUUGAUAAAAAAAAUGUAUGGCUACUUUUGCUUUACAAAAGUGGCAGUUGCUAAUGAAUCAAAUAUCAAAUCUAGUUUUUGAGAUUAGAUGGGGCGGGUUUUGAAAAUCCACCACCCAGCCCAUUUAUGUCUUGUCUUGGUUCUAAAGAAAGGUUGCCCUACAAACUAUAAUCUACGAAAAAAAUAACAUAGUUUCAACCAUAGAAAUAGCAAGUGGGCCCUAUCAUCUUUUUUCCCGGGAAAAACUUCCGACCCAUUCAUCAAACAUCAUGGUAGUAAAAAGAACACUCGGAGUAACAAAAAUCACAUCCAAGUCCAUAGGCCACCUAGCAACAACUAUAAACAGUGGCGUUAGCUGAAGGCGUGCCACCAACACCGCCUCUCCCUCACUGGAGCAGGGCAAACCUUGUUGUAGUAAACAGUAGGUAAGUCAUCAUGCUAAGGCACCAAAGGACCAACACAUCAAAACAACAAUCUUCGUUGAUGGAGAGAAGUGUAGAACACAAACAUCGAACCUAUAGACACACUAACGCAAACAAAGGAAUACCAUAUCCAUAUACACCCACUGAAGACAAACACUAACCGAAGCCCUCUAGAUCUGCUGGAGACAGACCUCCACACGCUCUCGGGCGACGCUAGACGUACCCCGAGGGCCGGGGCUAGGCGGAGAGAAUUUUAUUUCAUCUUCAGGGAGCUGCCACCUCCUCUCCUUCCCGAGCAAGGCAACCCUAAACAAACUCAAAAGCAAGACAAAACCAUAAACAAACUCAAAAACACACUUAAAACGAAGUAGGAGCCCUCCCAAUGAGAAGGGUAGGGAUCCACGGUGCCUCCAUGGCCCGAAGGCCAUAGAAGGCGAGGCAGAUCGACAUCGGCGGGAGGUAUGGAAACCCUAGUUUCUAUAUUCGCUCAUGGGUUACUACUAUCUUGUGAUCAUAAUAUUUAUAGCUUAGCAAACAAAAUCAUUUUUUUCAUUUUUCCAAAAAUUGCGAAGACAAAAGGUCAUAGAUAAUGGACUACAAAAACAAAAGUGCACAAGUAAAUAUUGGAAAAAGAAUGCAAUCAUUUCCUCUAUGUACUUACUCUGACCAUAGUUUAAAAAACUCGUGACCAAACAGAUGAGGUUCUUGGUUUAGGUUUUCAUCGGCCGAACCACCGUCACAUGUUCACAUCUGGUAUUUUAGGCUACAAACAUACAUUUUAUACUAAUAUAGUAGUAAACAAAGGUCAAAUAGUUUUUCUUGCCAGUGCUUUUUGUCUGAUGGCAACACGGUCUAAACACCUUAAGAAGCCGUCAACAUUGUUUAUCCCGGCGCUUUCCGGUUCGACCAUCAGUCCUGUAUGAUUUUUUAACUAUGGAUGUGAUGUAAAAAAAAUGUUUACACUACCGUACUACAAUUUACUAUAGCUCAGUCAAUUGAUUAUAUUUCCUCAACACGGAUAUUACCUUAUUUUCUUACCAAAUUUUAAAUGUAUAUUUACCAACAUAUUUUUUAUACCCUUGAUAUUUUUAUAUAAAACUUAUAGAUAUGAAUUUUCACCAAAUUACUAUAUUUUUAGAGCUACUAGUUAUUGUAUAACAUGUUAUAUCAUAUGUCAGAAAAUUAUUGGGUUCAACACAUGACAUCAGUUAUAUAGGCUUACACAUUAUCGCAGCAAAAAAAAGUUAUAUAGGCUUACCAAUACUCAUACCAUCCAGGCCCAUCCCCCAUCUCAGUGACGAUCUUGAAGUAGGCUCAACCCAAAUACUAGGCCAUAAUUGUGAAUCCAUUGUCAUGGGUGCUGCGAGACCUAUGUCUCGCUUAUUGUGAGAUCUAGCUCCGUCUCGCCUUUGGCACUCGCUGUUGUGUCCUUUUAAUGGGCCAACCCAGUGAAGUAAUUCUGGAAAGGUUCUGUGCACCGGUUCUGAGAAGGUUUCAUGCGGUUCCUUUUCUUUUUCUAUGUUUUUCUUUAUGGUUUUUCUUUUACUUUUUUCCUAAACUUUUUUAUUUUUUGUCCUUUCUAUUUGUUUCAAAUACAUGUCAACUUUUUAAUACAUGUUGUAUUUUUUAUACACGUUGAACAUUUUUUGAUUCACAUUGAACAUUUUUAUUACAUUAUUUGAAGUUUUAAUAAAUGUCUGAAAAUGUUUUUGAAUGAUACUAAAUAUUUUUAUAAAAUUACACAAAUAUUUCUUUCACGUCGUAUAAACAUUUAUUUUAAAUUUGUAUAUUUUUUAAAUGACAGGAACAUUUUUUAGUGUUACAGAAUAUUUGUACAAACUACAUGAACAUUUUCUGUUUUGCAUGACAGUGCUGGAAAAUUCUUAGCAGCAAGUAACAAUGUUGUUGGUGUUUGCAUAGAUGUUUUCAUGGCAGAAGCGCUGGCUCUUUGGUUUGGUUUAAACUUGGCAACAUCUUUGGGCUGCAUUAAGUUAAUCAUCAACUCCAACAACAUUGAUGUAAUCUCAGCAAUGCAAGACAGAGACAAUACGUUAGGAUCAUUGGCCGCUAUUCUAGAUGAUUGCUUCCAUAUGGCUAGGGAUUUCACUCAUGUUCGGUAUGAACACUGUCACAGAGAAUCAAAUGAUGUUGUUGAUGAACUAGCUAGACUUUGUAAAUUUUCUCCCCCAAAUCUUGGUUUGAUGAGGCACCGGAUGCCAUCACUCCCUUGCUUGUAAGUGACGCUGUUUUGAUUACUAGCUAACAAAAGGGGGUGUUGGGAGGUAAAAAAACUACAUGGACUUUUUUUUUAAUGUCAAGAACAAAAAUUUUAAAUGCGUGAACUCUUUUUAGAAAAAAAUUCUACAUUGCGUGACACUUUUUUAAUGUGUGAUGACGCUUUUAAAAAAUGAAGUAAAUAUAUUUUGAAGAAUAUGUAUUUAGAAUAUUUCGAAAUAUAAAAAAAGCAAAAAAAAAAUAAAC